rnacentral:rRNA from 1 species
AUGAUGGAUCUCAUGACCCAGCUCAGGGAGCUAAAUGUGAUGGGAGCCAAAAGCUGGGACUUUAGCCAUUUACAAGGACGGUUGCGUAACAUUCGCAAGCUCCGGUUAACAAAGUCCACCUGCUGUUCCGACACCAAUGUGUUCUCAGAUAUGGAAAGCAUGGAGCUUCUUGAUUUUUCAGGGAAUAUGGUCAGUGGUUACAUGAGAAGCUUAUCUGGCUCAGCAAGCAACAUUAACCUUGAUACUGUCAUUAUUGGUGCCUGUGGUGGGUUAAAAAUCAUCUCUUUUAGGGACUGCAAAGAAUUGAAGAACAUAUUCUUGAAAGGAUCAUUGGGGAGUCUUGAAGAGCUGGACCUCUCGGGCACAGGAGUGAAAACACUCAACUUCAGGGAAGUGGUAGCCACCUCACUCCCCAAGCAGAUCAUCCUGCUAGGCUGA